UAUUUUUAAAAGAAUAUUAUGUUUUAACAUACAUACAUUGGAAUUUUGAGGAUUAAUACAGUGUUUCUCAUAUAUAAUAGUUUCUCUAGAAAAUAAUAAUAAGUAUAUAAUUUUGAACAAAAUGCCAAUGUCUUUAUUGUGAAAAAUGUGUUUAAUCUUCUAAUUGAAGUAAGUCUGUUCAUUCACAAAUAGUGUCACGAGAUCAACUCCACCCUCUUACAGUCCUAAAACCAAAAUGUUACAUUUUGUUCCUAGUUUAUUAUUUGAUAUAAGAUUUCUUAUGUACUUGGACAAUAUAUAUAUAUAUAUAUAUAUAUAUAUAUAUAUAUAUAUAUAUAUGACAUUUUACUGCUAUGCUGAGAACUUGAGAAGUCAUGCAGUUCAUGCAUGGGUUAUCUGUUACCCAAACCUACGCAAACCUCCACGUGUGGUAACGGUAUGGGUGCCACGACAUUCGGUAAGAGUCACAUGGCCAUCAUGUUUGCUUGCAUAACGCGAUC
rnacentral:lncRNA from 1 species